CAACCCUCAAGCACAGCUUGGUCUUGGGCUCCGCUGCUCACCCAGCGGGCCUUAAAAUCAGUGGCGGUGCCGUCGAGGCCCUGAGCGUAGUAAACAUCCUCGCUAUAGGGACCCGGCGGACGCUGGCCAUCAACCCCAACUCUCUUA
rnacentral:misc_RNA from 1 species